rnacentral:rRNA from 1 species
UACGGGGGGGGCAAGCGUUGUUCGGAAUUACUGGGCGUAAAGGGCUCGUAGGUGGCCAACUAAGUCAGACGUGAAAUCCCUCAGCUUAACCGGGGAACUGCGUCCGAUACUGGAUGGCUGGAGGUUGGGAGAGGGAUGCGGAAUUCCAGGUGUAGCGGUGAAAUGCGUAGAUAUCUGGAGGAACACCGGUGGCGAAGGCGGCAUCCUGGACCAAUUCUGACGCUGAGGAGCGAAAGCCAGGGGAGCAAACGGG